GAAUAUUGGACAAUGGGCGAAAGCCUGAUCCAGCCAUGCCGCGUGCAGGAAGACGGCCCUCUGGGUUGUAAACUGCUUUUAUACGGGAAGAAUAAGUGUUAUGUAUAGCACGAUGACGGUACCGUAAGAAUAAGCACCGGCUAACUCCGUGCCAGCAGCCGCGGUAAUACGGAGGGUGCAAGCGUUAUCCGGAAUCAUUGGGUUUAAAGGGUCCGUAGGUGGACUAAUAAGUCAGUGGUGAAAGUCUGCAGCUUAACUGUAGAAUUGCCAUUGAUACUGUUAGUCUUGAAUUGUUGUGAAAUAACUAGAAUAUGUAGUGUAGCGGUGAAAUGCAUAGAUAUUACAUAGAAUACCGAUUGCGAAGGCAGGUUACUAACAAUAUAUUGACACUGAUGGACGAAAGCGUGGGGAGCGAACAGG
rnacentral:rRNA from 1 species